AACGAACGCUGGCGGCGGGGUUUAGGCAUGCAAGUCGAGCGAGAAAGGGGCAACCCGAGUAAAGCGGCGUAAGGGUGAGUAAUAGGUAGUUCACGUAUCCUGCAGACGCGGAUAAUUUCCCGAAAGGGAUUGUAAUACGCGAUGAGACCACAGCUGAUCCGUCAGCAGGGGUCAAAAGGUUCGGGAUCCUUCGGGACCGAGCGCUGUUUGAGCGGACGACCUCCGAUUAGCUAGAUGGCGGGGUAACGGCCCACCAUGGCGAUGAUCGGUAGCCGGCCUGAGAGGGGUGUCCGGCCACACUGGGACUGAGACACUGCCCAGACUCCUACGGGAGGCAGCAGUGGGGAAU
rnacentral:rRNA from 1 species